rnacentral:rRNA from 1 species
UACGUAGGGGGGCGAGCGUUGUCCGGAGUUACUGGGCGUAAAGCGCACGUAGGCGGCUUUGUAAGUUAGAGGUGAAAGCCCGGAGCUCAACUCCGGAAUUGCCUUUAAGACUGCAUCGCUUGAAUCCAGGAGAGGUGAGUGGAAUUCCGAGUGUAGAGGUGAAAUUCGUAGAUAUUCGGAAGAACACCAGUGGCGAAGGCGGCUCACUGGACUGGUAUUGACGCUGAGGUGCGAAAGCGUGGGGAGCAAACAGG